rnacentral:rRNA from 1 species
GCAUAUCAAUAAGCGGAGGAAAAGAAACCAACAGGGAUUGCCCUAGUAACGGCGAGUGAAGCGGCAACAGCUCAAAUUUGAAAUCUGGCGUCUUUGGCGUCCGAGUUGUAAUUUGCAGAGGGCGCUUUGGCAUUGGCAGCGGUCCAAGUUCCUUGGAACAGGACGUCACAGAGGGUGAGAAUCCCGUACGUGGUCGCUAGCCUUUACCGUGUAAAGCCCCUUCGACGAGUCGAGUUGUUUGGGAAUGCAGCUCUAAAUGGGAGGUAAAUUUCUUCUAAAGCUAAAUACUGGCCAGAGACCGAUAGCGCACAAGUAGAGUGAUCGAAAGAUGAAAAGCACUUUGGAAAGAGAGUUAAAAAGCACGUGAAAUUGUUGAAAGGGAAGCGCUUGCAGCCAGACUUGCCUGUAGUUGCUCAUCUAGGUUUCUACCUAGUGCACUCUUCUAUAGGCAGGCCAGCAUCAGUUUGGGCGGUUGGAUAAAGGUCUCUGUCAUGUACCUCUCUUCGGGGAGAACUUAUAGGGGAGACGACAUGCAACCAGCCUGGACUGAGGUCCGCGCAUCUGCU